GACGAACGCUGGCGGCGUGCCUAAUACAUGCAAGUAGAACGCAGUUGCGAACGGGUGAGUAACGCGUAGGUAACUGCAUGGUAGAGGGGGAUAACUAUUGGAAACGAUAGCUAAUACCGCAUACUACCAGAUGGACCUGCGUUGUGUUAGCUAGUUGGUGAGGUAACGGCUCACCAAGGCACAUAUACAUAGCCGACCUGAGAUGGUGAUCGGCCACACUGGGACUGAGACAAGUCCCAGACUCCGACGGGGUGCAUCAGUAGGGAAUCUUCGGCAAUGGGGGGAACCCUGACCGAGCAACGCGGCGUUAGUGAAGAAGGUUUUCGGAUCGUAAAGCUCUGUUGUUAAGGAAGCGGUACGUAACCAGAAAGGGACGGCUAACUACGUGCCAGCAGCCGCGGUAAUAC
rnacentral:rRNA from 1 species